rnacentral:rRNA from 1 species
GCAGUAGGGAAUCUUCGGCAAUGGGCGCAAGCCUGACCGAGCGAUGCCGCGUGAGGGAAGAAGGCCUUCGGGUCGUAAACCUCUGUCAGGAGGGACGAAAUCUGACGGUACCUCCAGAGGAAGCCACGGCUAACUACGUGCCAGCAGCCGCGGUAACACGUAGGUGGCGAGCGUUAUUCGGAAUUACUGGGCGUAAAGGGUCCGCAGGGGGUCUGCCAAGUCCGGUGUGAAAUCCCGCGGCUCAACCGCGGAAGGGCACUGGAAACUGGCGGACUUGGGUACAGGAGAGGAGAGCGGAAUUCCCGGUGUAGCGGUGGAAUGCGUAGAUAUCGGGAAGAACACCGGCGGCGAAGGCAGCUCUCUGGCCUGUCACUGACCCUCAGGGACGAAAGCGUGGGUAGCAAACAGGAUUAGAUACCCUGGUAGUCCACGCCGUAAACGUUGUGCACUCGAUGCGGGGCCUUCGGGCUCCGUGUCCAAGCUAACGCGUUAAGUGCACCGCCUGGGGACUACGGCCGCAAGGCUAAAACUCAAAGGAAUUGACGGAAU